CCGUCAGCAGCCUGGGCCACACGCUGGUGGAGUCUGCGCUCACAAGGCCUUCCCUGCCCAGCCCCCACGGGACCACACCCAGGUUCCCAGACCCCGAGGAGCAGAAAGGCUGGCAGGCUCAGGCGACCGAGGCCAAGGCACUGUGGCAGGCCGCCGAGGUGGAGCGGACCGGCUCGGCGAGUUUGUCACCGUGCUGCAGAGAAGGGUGGAGGACAGCAGCACCAGGCUACUGGAGGCUGAGAGGGGAGCUACGGGCAGCGCGGCAGCGUUCAGUGGUGCUGGAGCAGCAGCUGGAGAAGGUGCGGCUGGAGCCUGGCCGGGCCUCGGCCAGGGGCAGAGCAGGCUGGCCGUGCAGGUGGAGGAGAAUGAGCUGCUGCGGACAGCCCUGGGCAGCGCCCUGAGGGGCAAGGGAGGAGGACUUCCGCGUGUACCACGAGACCCUGGCCCAGGUGAAGGGCGUCUUCCUGCAGGCCCUGCGGCAGCAGAGGACUGAUGGGCACUAGAGGGUGGGCUGGUGUCUGCAGCCUCCCGGAAGCCACCGGAGCCCCUCAGGGUGACCAAGCCCAGCCUCGGCCUGGUGGCACCUGGGCACACCCGCCCCAGCUCUGGGACAGCAAGCCAGCUGCAAAGGGAUGGACGUGUGCCCCACCCAGCGCCAUCUGAGGCCACCACCCACCCCAGACUGGGCACUGGCUCCCCGGCCCUGGAGCCAGACCUGUAAUAGCCAUUGCCGUGGUAAUCGCAAUCCUGCAGUUGGUGAGGGGCUCCUGCUGACCUCGGGGUCAGGGGUGCCAUGGAGUCUCGGUGGGGCUGGGCCCUGAGGACGCUGGGCUGCUGGUCCCCAUGGGCAACUCUGGGGGCAGCGGGACCUGGGCCAAGGUGCCAACCGCACCCGGUGUGUGCACAAGGGCUUCACGGCACUGGGUUCUGGCCAGGCCCGAAGCUCGUCCUCUCCUCAACUUCUGGUGUCACCUCAGCUGCCCGGAAGACUCACCAAGUCCUGACCAGGAGGCCCAGCCGCACGGCCUAGCCUCUGCCCCAGGGGCAGCACCACCCAUCUGGCACGUCCACCUCAGGGCAGGACAGAGGCUGCAGGGCCAGAGGCGAUGCUGGUGGGGCCUCUGCCCUGGCAGGAGCAGGCCACGCGUGACAGCCCUGGCUCACACGGCCCUCUGCAGGCACUGGGCACCCUGAGGGUGCACUUGGCAUGGGGUGCAGACCCCACCCCUGUGGUGUCCCCAGGAGCAAGAGCGGGCAUGGGACCAGCCC
rnacentral:lncRNA from 1 species